rnacentral:rRNA from 1 species
UACGAAGGGGGCUAGCGUUGUUCGGAAUUACUGGGCGUAAAGCGCGCGCAGGCGGUCCUUUAAGUCAGGGGUGAAAGCCCAGAGCUCAACUCUGGAGCUGCUUUUGAAACUAGAGGACUUGGGUACGGGAGAGGUGAGUGGAAUUCCGAGUGUAGAGGUGAAAUUCGUAGAUAUUCGGAAGAACACCAGUGGCGAAGGCGGCUCACUGGCCCGUUACCGACGCUCAGGCGCGACAGCGUGGGGAGCAAACAGG